AAGCAAAUGAUGAAUAACUCGGAUUCCCCUUCAAGACAUUAUGGGUGAUGUACAGCUCGAGUUUUCUGAUGCA
rnacentral:snoRNA from 1 species